rnacentral:rRNA from 1 species
AGUGAACGCUGGCGGUAGGCCUAACACAUGCAAGUCGAACGGCAGCACAGUAAGAGCUUGCUCUUACGGGUGGCGAGUGGCGGACGGGUGAGGAAUACAUCGGAAUCUACUUUUUCGUGGGGGAUAACGUAGGGAAACUUACGCUAAUACCGCAUACGACCUACGGGUGAAAGCAGGGGAUCUUCGGACCUUGCGCGAUUGAAUGAGCCGAUGUCGGAUUAGCUAGUUGGCGGGGUAAAGGCCCACCAAGGCGACGAUCCGUAGCUGGUCUGAGAGGAUGAUCAGCCGCACUGGAACUGAGACACGGUCCAGACUCCUACGGGAGGCAGCAGUGGGGAAUAUUGGACAAUGGGCGCAAGCCUGAUCCAGCCAUACCGCGUGGGUGAAGAAGGCCUUCGGGUUGUAAAGCCCUUUUGUUAGGAAAGAAAAGCAGCAGGUUAAUACCCCGCUGUUCUGACGGUACCCAAAGAAUAAGCACCGGCUAACUUCGUG